rnacentral:rRNA from 1 species
GACGAACGCUGGCGGCGUGCUUAACACAUGCAAGUCGAACGGUAAGGCGCCUUCGUUGUGGGGUGCUCGAGUGGCGAACGGGUGAGUAACACGAGAGUAACCUGCCCUGGACGCUGGGACAACUUAAGGAAACUGGGGCUAGUAUCGGAUAGGAGCUUCUGCUGCAUGGUCGGGGUUGGAAAGUUUCGGCUGUUGGGGUUGGACUGGCGGCUUAUGAGCUUGUUGGUGGGGUAGUGGCUUCCCAAGGCUUCGACGGGUAGGCGGCCUGUGGGGGUGGCCGGCCCCAAGAGGACUGCGAGAGGGCGCAGUCGGGAACGGGAGGCAACAGUGGGGAAUAUUAUACAGUAGGCGCGAGCCUGGUGCGACGGCGCCGGGUGCGGGAUGACGGCCUUCGGGUUGUGAACCGGUUUCGCCUGUGACGUAGCGUGGGUGACGGUAAUGGGUAAAGAAGCACCGGCUAACUACGUG